GUGCACCAUUCUAAGACACUAAAAUGUUUCAGAGCAACAACUAUUGGGAGAAUAUAUUCACUAGUCCUUCAAUAUGGGUAAAGAAAUUGAGUUCCAGAAGAGUAAUUGACACAAUUGCCCCAUGUCACACAACACGGUGGUAUUGAAAGAGACAAGAAGGAAAGUUUCCUAACUUCAAACUUUGUGCUUUCUCCACUAUCCCGUGAGAGAAUUUGGACUGGCUACAAGCAAGGGGCACAGGGAGAGCUCUCCCUGAAGUUCUGACUGAGGGAAUUCCUUCCAAAAGAAACACAAUUGUCUUCAAUCUCCUGUCUGAAAUCUCACUAACCAGGGAAGAUUAAUCACCAAAGAAGAAAUUAAAGAUUAUCAGCUGGGCCCGGUGGCUCAUGCCUAUAAGCUCAGCACUUUGAGAGGCCAAGGCGGGAGGAUGGCUUGAGCCUAGGAGUCCGAGACCAGCCUGGGCAAUAUAGUGAGACUCCAUCUCUACAAAAAAUAAUAGCUGGGUGAGUUGGUGCACAUCUGUAGUCCCAGCUACUCAGGAGGCUGAGACAGGAGAGUCACUUGAGCUGGGCGGAGGCUGCAGUGAGCUGUGAUCGUGCCACUGCACUUCAGCCAGGGCAACAAAGCAAGACCCCUCAAAAAAAAUUAAAAGAAAAGAUUGUCCCCACAUAGUCCCAGACACACUUUUCAUCUAUUCUUCUGAGGAAUGGUGCCUGAGAGACUUUAUCUGCGUAAUUAGACAGCCUUUGUUCACAGUGCAAUUCUGCCACUAAACUUCUCAUAAAUUGUCACCAUCUCUCUCAGAGCCCAGACUAACUUUGUCCCAGGCUAUUGUCUGUUCUUUGAGCCAAUUCAUCUCCCCUAAAAAUUAUCUAUUCUUCCUCUAAAAUUACCUACAUCCCCUCCUUCCCUCUGCCUUAUGAAGAAGGUAUUUAACCUUCAAUAAUCUGGCCCUUCUUUGAGUUUUAUACUUUGUCUGACUCCCAUGUGCUUGUACAUUUAUAAAUUUGUAUGCCUGUUCUCCCAUUAAUCUGUCUAUUGUAAGUUUGUUUAUAGAUUCGAAUUCUCAAACCUUCAGGAGGUGAAAAGAAAGUUCCUUUUGCCCUUACAACAACGUGAGACUAGCUCUGAAGUUUUCAUUAGCUAUGUGAAGCUUAUAUCUCAGAAUAGCCUCACAUACACUGGUAAAGAUUAGCAGGUCAUUUGGGCUGAUGGCAUAGUCUGGAAUAACAGAGGAGGAAAUAAAAUUUUAAAAGCUCAUGAACCCAAGAGUAUGAUCUUCAGAGGAGAGAUUUCCUAUCUCUUAAAUUCUACGUAAAUAGUGAAGUCCUAUAUGGGGGGGAUCCUUCAUCUGGGGCCUACCUUGGGCAGAAUAAUGUAGUUGUACCUCAUUCUAUCAUAGCUAAAAGACAAAGUACUUUUUAAGACUUUGCAAAAUUUUGUUCAUGUUGCGUAUCUUUUUAAAGUCUGACUCUCUGCACUAAAAUAGGAUAGCCUAAACAGGGCUCUUUUCGGAGUAAAAUUAUUAUGAGCCCAGUAGUUUUCCCAGUAAGUAAGCUAUCAGAACUUACAAAAAUAUGAGACAGAGCUUUGCAGAUGUAGCUAGAGAAAGGUCAGUUGGUGGACUUGAACUUGUUUUUAGUUUAUUUAUGUAUUCUCCAAUACUCUAGACUGUUCUAGAAAUCACUAGAGAGAAAUAAUGGUGGUAUUCCAUGCCUAUGAUACAUCACAGACUACAUUUGGAGGACUGCAGAAAGAAGCAAAAACAGAAGUUUCCAUAAUGAGUGGUAGAGAUGUGCUAAAUGUCUUCUUUUUCAAACUUUAAUUUUUAAUUUUUAAUUUUUUUUAGAGAUGUGAUAUUGCUAUAUUGCCCAGGCUAUAGUGCAGUGACUAUUCACAGGUGCAGUCAUAGUACACUGCAACCCUGAACUCCUGGGCUCCAGCAAUCCUCCUGCCUAAGCAUCCUGAGUAGUUAGAACUACAGGUGCAUGCCACAAUACUGGGCUUAAUGCCUUCUUUACUGAUCCUUGAUGGUAAAGGGGAAGACCAUUUUAGAACCUUUGAUUCCUUGGACAUAAUCCCAUGGUACUGCUCUUUAAUAAAGAUAAAUUAUAAGGAAUUGGAUUCUAUAGGGAAGAAAUGGAUGGAAGUUGUAACAAAAUGUAAUAGUAAUGAAAUAUUAAUAGAAAGGCCUAAAUAGAAUCUGUGGCAUAACUCUCAAAAUAGUCCUUUAAUAACCUCCUUUUGAAAAUAUCAAGGUUAAGACCUAGAGACGUAAAGUCCUGCCCAAAGUCAAUUGUCUGGUUAGUGGCACACAGAGCACUAAAGUUUACAUCAGCAGGUUCCCAGUUCAGUACAUCUUCUAGAGCUUCUAAAAAUUAAUGUGAAGAUAGUCUUUGCUCUAUUGAAGCAUAAUUAUAAACAUCAAAUAUUUGUAAAAUAUCUUCUAUAUAGUAGGAUGUUUUUCCUUUUAUUUAUUAGUAAAUUUACCACAAUAUUAAUUUAGUUAGUAAAUUAGAAUUUUUCUUUCCCAUUCAUCAUUUAUGUCACCAGCAGGUAAUCCUACUCCAUCCUCCCACCACAUCUCAUUUCAUUAUCACCUGGCCUCCAGAGGGUGGAAUCACUUGGGCACUGCUCAAGCUUAUGAGAUCUUAAAAUUUAUUUUUAAAAUAUUUCAAAUCAAAAAGUUUUUGAGCUGUGAAAUUUAAUAAGAUAUUGAGCUUUCUUCUAGCCUUUUAUCCACUAAUUCUACUCUUAGAAAUUACUUCCUAAAAAAAUACUUUUUAAGAAAACCACACACACACAAAAUGUCCUCUAACUUUGUUCUUUUUUCUUCCAAGUUGUUUUGUCUGUUCUAGAUCUUCUGCACUUUAAUUUAAACUUUAGAGUCAGCUUGCUACUUCUACAAAGUAGCUGGCUGGGAUUUCUAUUAGAAUGCCUUGAAUAUACAGAUCAAUUUGGAAGAAAUGACGUCUUAACAAUAUAGAGUCAUCUAAUCUAGGAAUAUGGUAUAUUUCUUAAUUGACUUAGGUCUUCUUUAACAUUUAAUUUUACUCAGCAAUGUUUUAUAGUUUUCAGUGUACAGGUCUUGAACAUCUUUUGUCGAAUUUAUCCUUAAGUAUUUUACAGUUUUGAUGCCACUGUACAUGGCAAACUUUAAUUUUAAUUUCUGAUUGUUUAUUGCUAAUAUAAAGAAAUGCAAUUGGUUUUUGAUAUUGACUUUGUACCCUGCCACUGAACUAAACUCACUUUCAGUUUUAACAGCUUAUUUGCAGAUUCUUUAGGGUUUUUUGAUAGAUGACAAUAUCGUCUGUGAAUAAACAGAGAUUUAUGUCUCCCUUUCCAGUCUAUU
rnacentral:lncRNA from 1 species